rnacentral:rRNA from 1 species
UACGUAGGGCGCAAGCGUUAUCCGGAAUUAUUGGGCGUAAAGAGCUCGUAGGCGGUUUGUCGCGUCUGCCGUGAAAGUCCGGGGCUCAACUCCGGAUCUGCGGUGGGUACGGGCAGACUAGAGUGAUGUAGGGGAGACUGGAAUUCCUGGUGUAGCGGUGAAAUGCGCAGAUAUCAGAAGGAACACCGAUGGCGAAGGCAGGUCUCUGGGCAUUAACUGACGCUGAGGAGCGAAAGCAUGGGGGAGCGAACAG